rnacentral:rRNA from 1 species
GAUCCUGGCUCAGGACGAACGCUGGCGGCGUGCCUAACACAUGCAAGUCGAACGGAGCUAAUUAAAGGAAGUUUUCGGAUGGAAUUUAGCUAGCUUAGUGGCGGACGGGUGAGUAACGCGUGAGCAACCUGCCUUUCAGAGGGGGAUAACGUCUUGAAAAGGACGCUAAUACCGCAUAACAUUAACACACCGCAUGGAGUGAUAAUCAAAGGAGCAAUCCGCUGAAAGAUGGGCUCGCGUCCGAUUAG